CUAAUUGAAUCUAACCCUAGCCCAGACAUCUCUUAUUUCUUCUGUCGUCGCCGUGAGACGGAACCAGCAUCUAGUUGGCCCCUGGAGGAUGGCCGGGUUCAUGCCCUUUACUUAACCCCAUCGAGAGUGAUAUAUGAUGCAAAAGAAGUCAUUAAUGGGCCGCAAGCACAAAUUGUUAAGGAUGCAGAGGAUUUGGGUUGUGACUUGCUUAUUCACCAGGAUAGUACUUUUGGCAUUCAAGAAGCAGAAAACCUCUAGUGAAAAGUCAGAUACUAAGGGAAAGGCUGCAAGCAAAAAAAACAAAUAGAGAAGCCGUCAAAAGCUUCAGUGAAGGAUCAAAGUGAAUUGAUUGUAUUUUUCUCAAUUUACAUAUGAUGUUAUCUGUAGUGCUUACUCUAUUUCUGUUAGCAUUCUAUUGUUUGCGCGAAAUAGUUUUAGAACUUGUUAACUUUGAUUAAGUAGUCUUGUCAAACUGUUUCUAGAAACUUCCCUUCUCAGGUUUUUAGUUGGGGGAAAAAAUGGGACAUAAGUUUUCAUGAAUGAGAUAAAUGCUGAUAAUUACAGAGCUCACAUGAAAUUUGCCUCCCUAUUUUUUACCAUCCUGAUAAACACACCCUUGAUAUGAAUUCGUAUCAAGUUACACACCAUGGUUCUGUAUUUUACAAGUAUGUGUCUAUUUGUAAAAUUUUCAUCUCAAAUUAUUCUAUUCCAAUGUCAUUGUUAGGAAAAGGAAAAGGUAGUAAGAAAUCCAAGAAGGAACCUAGUAGGGAGGACAUGCAUGUAGUUGUAGUCGAUAUUCUGAAGGAAGUUGAUAAAAUAUUGGGUACAAAAUUGAUGUCAACUUGACUUAAAUAUGCUAGAAGAGUCAAGAAUUAUAAAUUCGAUAUGAUACAAUUUUAUGUUAGGAAAAAGUUGUAUUUAGUUGAAUUUCGAGAACUUAUUUUAUUAUAAAAGAAUCUUAAUGACAUGUAAGAUAUUCUAAUUAUCUAUAUGAUUAUAUAUUAUAUAAAUGUUAAGUUAGCGUGUUUAAAAAAUUAAUUGAUAUAUCAAUUAUUUAAUUAAAUAUUUUAAAAUGAACUUUUUAUUUUUGUAACUAAGAAUAAAAAAUGUUACAAAAGUAAGUAGUAUUUUGUAACAAAAUAUUAUGACACAAAAAUUUAAAUUGUUACAAAAAACAUUUUAGAGGU